AUGAUUGUGCUCAAAUCUUUCUCCUAGGAUCUUUACCCUUUCCUAAUAUUAGUUUUGGGCACAAAAAA
rnacentral:ncRNA from 1 species